rnacentral:pre_miRNA from 1 species
UCUUCAUUUCACCCGCUCUCUCACCGGUCAGAGAGGCGAGAGAGUGUGUGAGAAGAAGAGA